GCCUGGGUGGCUCAGUCGGUUAAGCGUCUGACUUCAGCUCAGGUCAUGAUCUCACAGUCUGUGAGUUCGAGCCCCGCGUCAGGCU
rnacentral:tRNA from 1 species